rnacentral:tRNA from 1 species
GAGAGAGGCUUGCCAGCAACGAAGCCUGCUAACCCUCGUAUCCUCGGUUGAACUCCGGAGCUCCCUCA